rnacentral:lncRNA from 1 species
AAGGUCAUACAGCUCACCAAGCAGGUCAAGGUGAGGCCGCAGGGUGAAUGGUUAAUGGACUGAUUAUACACUGAAGGCAUUCAUCUUCUUACAAAUUAUAGUUCUUAAGAAAAGGAUCUAAUAUUGGUGAGCAGAGGCUUAGAAUCCAUUCUUAUUUUGAAGAUGGACUUUUUUUUAGGUAGCAACUGUGUUUCUCUUUCCAGGUGAUACCCGAGUUACGUAAAGAUCUUCACAACCUGCAGACCCAGAAAGAUGAUCUGGGCAGGAAGAUGAAGAAUCAGUCAGAACAGGCCAGAGCCAAGAUGAGUGUGAUCACAAGACAACUUCUUUGUGGCAUGGUUGAAGAGGAGGUCAUUUCCAGGUUGACCUCCGACAGUCCAGACCAGAUCUAUGAAGUUGGGAAUUUGUCGACUGCAUUUGAUGGACUGCAGAAAGCUUGCAGGUUUGAGACAACACCUGUACAUUUACUGACUAAAGUAUGCUACUUGUUUAGCUAACUAAGGCAGUGUUUCCCAACUCCGGUCCUCCAGUCCCACCAACAGCCCAACCCCUUACUGUAUCUACUGUAUCUACUUAUACUGUACCUUCUACUG